rnacentral:hammerhead_ribozyme from 1 species
AUCCAGCUAACGAGUACCAAAUAGGAGGAAACGCGCGUCAAACUGCAU